UCUAAUUCCUCAAAACAAGCAAAUUUCAAUUAAACCCAGCUAUAUUAUAAUACCUUUUGAUUUAGUUUUCCUUGCAAGAAAUAAACAAAACACAUCUAAACUAAACCUAACCUCGCUUUUGGCCAUUUGGCCAUCAUCUCCGUGUCAAAUAAUUUCGACAGUCGCCAUAUUGAAAGCGACUUGUUUUUGGUCGAAAUUUGAUUUAGGCCCGAUUGUACAUUGGCGGCUUAAGCUAUGGCUUAGUUGAACCGGGUUCAAUUUUGAGCGUCGGUUUAACUUCAUUCGGGUUGUUCAAUGCCGAGUUCAGUUAAGCCGAGGUUCAUACAAAUUUUGGUAAGGUUGGCAACGUAAGGCAUGCGUAUUCAAAGCAAUUCCCGUCAAUUCUCGACAUAAAUUUUCCCGCCAUUUAUGUAUUAUUAUUUGGUUUUUGUCAAUAUAAUUCUUUUAUUACUGUUAUUAGUUUAAUCGGUAUUUUCUAUCGUUUAGUUUAUCAGUUUAAUCAAUUUCCUACGUUAAAUUUGUGAACAGACCAUUUGAAUAGCUUGUGAUGAAGGAUUGCGUAAGGGUGUUAUCAGGUUUUCUUGACUCCGUAACCACUAUCACCAAAGAAGAUACUAAUUCAAUCUUCACAUUCUCUUCUCAUAAAUAUUUAACUGUUUACAGCUAUGAUUUCAAAUUCACUCAAAAAUGUUAAUAUUUGCCUUAUUCUAGGGAAGUAGGUAGGUAAUUUAAAUAAUUUUAGAAGGUAAAUUAGUUUGUAAUUAUUAUUAAAUAAAGUGAUAAUAUGUACCUACAUAAGCAUGGUACAAAUAUAAUUAAUUUAAGAUUUAUUAAUAAAUUAUGUACAUCUAAUUUAAUAAAUUAACAAAAUCGU